GUAGCCCUGAAUCAAGGCCCGCAGUUUGCUGUAGCUGUUGGUUUCAAACAGUGGCUUAUACAAAAGUCUUCUAAUGGUCUGUUUACUUCCCAGAAUUAUCUAAUGGUGAAGUCCAUUCUGUUUGAAGGAACAGUU